rnacentral:lncRNA from 1 species
GGACCAUGUAUUUCCUCAGCCCCACCCUGAAAGCAGGAACCUCAGGUCCUGGCAGGUCACCCUCUAAGUCAGCCUUGACUCACAGGAGGGGAAAUUCCAGGAAGAAAACUGGAAUGGGGACAGGGUCACUGUGACCACACUUCUCCUGGAAGCCAGCUCAGCUGGCAGACAGAGACACUGAGAGAACAGAAAGACACUAGGCUGGUGGGCCACACAGGACCACAGGCAGACAGGCAGAGCCCAGAGCAGAGCCAGCAGAGCCAACAGCUGCAGGUGGCCAGAGCCCUGGGGGAGGCUGAGGUAAAAUCUGCCCUGGAGCAGGUGACCCAGGAACGGGAUGACGCCAUAGCCAAGAAGCUGGCCGUAGAAGCUGAACUGGGCAUCUGCAGAGCCAAACUCCAAGCUACGGAGAAGCAACUGCUGGAGGUGGUGAAGGAGAAACUGGUGCUCAUGGAGGAGGUCGAGGCCUGGAAGGAUGAUAUGCAGGAGCUGGUCAGCCGACAGAUUCAAAGCCAGAUGCAGAGAGAAGGGAGUGAUCCCUGGGGGGACGGGGUAUCGGGGUCCAGAACCCAGCCUGGUCUGACCACCCACUUUUCCCAGUGGCAGUGGAGAUGGCGGAGAAUAACUUGCCCCCAGUUGCUCCAAACCUUGGUGAUGGAGAUCCCACCUGGGGCCCAAGAGUGGUAGGACAGAUGUGUUCCUUCACUCUGUGGUCCAGCCUUACUGGAUGCAGGAGAAGGUGGCACCUCAGAAGAUGAAGAUGGGUCCAGGAGAAGGUUUCUGAAGCUGGAGGUUGUCCCUAAUUUUAUCUCCUUGCUGGGACUGACUUCAAUGUUGACUGUUAGAAGUCCUGCCUAUCAGUCUCCACCAGAUUGGUGAGAAGGAACAGCUGUGUCCUGGAGAGUUGG